AGAGUUUGAUCCUGGUUCAGGACGAACGCUGGCGGCGUGCCUAACACAUGCAAGUCNNANGGGGAGUUAGCAAUAACUCCUAGUGGCGAACGGGUGAGUAACGCGUAGACAACCUGCCUUCCAGAUGGGGACAACACCGCGAAAGUGGUGCUAAUACCGAAUGAAGUAACCUUGGAGCAUUCCGAGGAUACCAAAGGUGGCCUCUGAACAUGCUACCGCUGGAAGAUGGGUCUGCGUCUGAUUAGCUAGUUGGUGGAGUAAAAGCCUACCAAGGCGACGAUCAGUAGCUGGUCUGAGAGGAUGAUCAGCCACAUUGGGACUGAGACACGGCCCAAACUCCUACGGGAGGCAGCAGUGGGGAAUAUUGGACAAUGGGGGCAACCCUGAUCCAGCCAUGCCGCGUGAGUGAUGAAGGCCCUAGGGUUGUAAAGCUCUUUUGUGCGGGAAGAUAAUGACGGUACCGCAAGAAUAAGCCCCGGCUAACUUCGUGCCAGCAGCCGCGGUAAUACGAAGGGGGCUAGCGUUGCUCGGAAUCACUGGGCGUAAAGGGUGCGUAGGCGGGUUUCUAAGUCAGAGGUGAAAGCCUGGAGCUCAACUCCAGAACUGCCUUUGAUACUGGAAGUCUUGAGUAUGGCAGAGGUGAGUGGAACUGCGAGUGUAGAGGUGAAAUUCGUAGAUAUUCGCAAGAACACCAGUGGCGAAGGCGGCUCACUGGGCCAUUA
rnacentral:rRNA from 1 species